rnacentral:misc_RNA from 1 species
AAGGUUUCCGUAGGUGAGCCUGCGGAAGGGUACGUUAAACAACCUGUGAACCUUCAUUCUUGCUCUCCUCGAGCCCUAACAAAAUGUCACAAUUUGAUUCAAGGACCUCUCUUGUCAGCCAUCGUGGAUUCGAUGAGGUCGUCGCAACUUGGCUUCUGUGGGGCAGUUAGUGGGUGAAAGUGCCCUGAUUGCUUAAGCAGAUAACCGAUUAAAACUCGGAUCAUCGAGUGCCCUCACGGCCGAUGAACAAGUCUCUGGGCUUGGGGCCCAAAUUAACUACCUCUGAGCCUUAGCGGCCGCCUCGUGCUGUCGCUGUCCUGAAAGCUGAACAACUGUUAACAAUGGAUAUCUUGAUUCUCA